CCCACGAAGUACAAGGCAUCAAGGCCGAACCAGGUAUCCCACCAGCCACUGCCGACGCACCACUUCCGGGAAGUAAAUAGAGCAUCACAUAUUCCCCGUUGUUUUUUAAACGCAGUAUGUUUUUAAUGAUUUAGUUAUGUAAGAAAAAGUGGCAAGAAAAGAACUCGAGAAGUCGAGAGUCGAGAUUUAUUGUGGCCACUCACACCGAGCAAGGAGAUGCUUUGUUAAUUGUUAUUGCCAGACUCGUAGUUUCAGCAAAUAUUCGUCUGCUAGACAGAGAAAGCGUUAAGCGUGUCACGAAAUUCUUUACUGUGUCGUGUUUUCUAUUCAUGAAAAAAGGCAACCGCAAUUGCUACCUGUAAGUCGAAAAAAGCAUCACACUACCUCCUACUACCACUGCUCUUAAUUACAACACGGAGUUUUCAUCUUGAGAUUGAUUGGCGGUGUCUUCAGGAAGACGAGAAGAAGGAGAUGAUGAUUUUGCCAAGGAGAAUAUUGAAUCUAGAAUCUAGAUGGCUAUAUCCUAUAUCCUUAAGAUGAAUCUCCAAUUCAACACACUACGGCCGAAUGGUUCUGGGACCAAGAAUUAUUCGCAAUUUUAGUGUCGCCGAUUCGCCAAUUAUUUUUUAUGCCGUUUGCAUCGUAUCGGACUCGAACAUUACCGCAAUGAACCGAAACUAGAACUCUAUUAUGUUGCCAGAAGUCACAAAAGACCAGGAGAUCGUGUCUUUGUGAGAAUGGCCCUAGUUCACCCCCAGUCAAUCAGGUUGAACAAAUUGCGUCGGAGCCGGGAACUUAUUGUGGUUAUUCCAUGGAAAUUGGUAGAUUUGGAAGUCGACGAGUAGUUUGGUUCGUGGAUCGAAUCAUUCGUUCGACUGAAAUAUAUCUCUGUUCUCUCGGAUAACCCGGCUCAACAACUCACAUAUCUCGUCCAGAAUCAACUCGCUUAUUCACUCAUUUGGGGAUCCAACGAAGAAAACCUUUAUUCCGCAGCGAAAUUUUCCAAUGUCGUACCAUACGAGGUCGUCGGAAUUCAGCAUAGGAAAAAUCCACACUGCUUCGGUCAAUUUGCUGGACAUUAUUCCGGUAAUUGGUAAAAGAUUCGUUAGGGUGCGCUUAAAGUCGCAUUUCCGACUUAUGCGUCAGACAGUUGGCGUAUUGGCCCAGCCAAAACCAUCUUAGCCAACUUCAUGGGCACUAGUAACAAUUGUUCCAUGAUCGCCGGAAAUCUGAUUGACGGCGAUGGGUUCUUCGGUUCUUCCACGUCUAGUUUUAGUGAUGGUAAGAGUACUACGCUGCGGUUUUGCCAUCUCUCAUAUCGGUCCAUUAAAGCACACAGCAGUAACAACGCUCGAGAAACAACGGCGUAAAAGAUUGUCCCACGUUUACCUUGGACUGUGUAUCUCAGGAGUGUUUUGUUUUCUUUUAAAUGUUACAGGACAUUAGUGUACGUAAGAACAGACAGUCAUGGGAAAUGGUGGGAGACAACAUGGAGGGGGACAUGAGAAGAGAAUAGGAGUCAAACCCAGAAAAAACUAGGUGCAAUAGAAGAAACAAGAACGAAUAAUAAGGCAAUCUUCC
rnacentral:lncRNA from 1 species